rnacentral:lncRNA from 1 species
CGCCGCGGUGCCGCCUGGGAGUUGUAGUCUCCGGCAGCACGGCCCCGCGGUCCGUUCCCAGUCCCCGAGUCCCCAGAGCCCCGGUGCCGGCCUCCGGCCGAAAUGGGGACAGCGCGGGGCCGAAGGAAUCCUCCCGGGGAGAUCAGCCUGGCCUCGGACCCUCCCUGGGACGCAGUGGACGCAACGCCUGGAGGAGGAGAGGAGAGGGCCGAGCUCUCCUCACAGACCCUGAGGGGCUGUGGCCCAAAGGGUGUCGCUGGAGUUCUCCUGCUCAGGAACGAAUCUGAGGACAGGCAACAUCUUGGUGAUGCUCCAGACUUUCCGGCUGACUUGGUUUAGAGGACCUGUGGGAUGUGCUGAGAAGGAGGACUGGGGAGAGACUUCAUGUAGGACAAAUUCAUUCUCUCACUGACAAAAUAUUUACUGAGCACAACCGAUGUACUGGGCAGGUCGCCGCGGAGGAGCAACCUGGCCUUGACGCCGCCGCAGCUCUGGAAGGGCCGGCGAGGUUCUGAGCCGGCACUUAAAGAGCGAGUGUCACAGAAGGGACAGGAGGGGACGCUGCGGGCAGUAGGGGGCGCUGCACAUGCGCAGAAAGCACCAACUAGACCUGAAGGCCUUGGGAGGACGUUGAGACCUGAAAAGUGAAGAGGAGGGAGAGGAAGAGCGUUUUAGGCAAAGAGACCUGGGUUGUGAAAGCCCUAAAAUAUUUAAAGUGUCAAUUCCUGGUACUGAGGAAGCCCCACGUGGCUGGACUGUGGAGUGACAGGGACGUGGUGGGGCUGAGGCCGCAAGCAGAAGCCUGCUGGGAAGGGCUUUCUGGGAAAGGAUUUGAUUUUAUGUUACUGCCUUUUUUUUUUUUUUUUUUUUUUUUUUAAGGGCCGCACUGGCGACAUAUGGAAGUUCCCAGGUGAGGGGUCAAAUCAGAGCUGCGGCUGCUGUUCUGCACCACAGCCACAGCACAGCAGGAUCCAAGCCGCACUGGUGACCUAUAGCACAGCUCACGGCAACCCUGGAUCCUUAACCCACUGAGCGAGGCCAGGGAUCAAACCAGAGCCUUCAUGGGUCCUACUUGGGUUUGUUACCCCUGAGCCACAAUGGAUUGGCUGCUCUCCCACCUCAGCAUCUUUAGCUUAAUCGUACCGGCAAAGUCUCCCUUUUGCCACAUAAGACAGCAUAUCGACAGGUUCCAGGCAUCAGGACGCGGACAUCUGUAGAGGGUCAUUUUUCUGUCCACCACAGGGAGCAAGUUGGACACGCGCUCCCGGGCAUCAGAGCACUCUUUGUGUCCCUCUCCGGUCUCCCCAGCUGUGUGCUGAUCUCAUCUCUUUCUUUCUCUCCUUUUCCCAUUUUUUUCUCCUGCUUUGCAGCUCAUUUUAAAAUAGAUAUCAUCAGCUAGAGACAUUUGCCCCAGAUUGCCCAAUCCUUAAGAACGGUGGUCCCAGUUAUGGUCCCCUCUGAGUAUGUCCAGUAGAAGGAGCUUGAUCUGACCGAAUCUCUGGGGGGAGCUUCUCGAACUGCACAGUCCAAGAGAAAUGAGCCACACAUGCAAGUUGCAUGUGUAAUUUCAAAAUUUCUAGGAGUCCCAUGGGGGAGAAAAAGGUAAAAAGAAAUAGAUGGAGUUAACUUUAAUAACAUAUUGUAUUUAGGAGUUCCUGUCGUGGUUCAGUGGUUAAUGAAUCCGACUAGGACCCAUGAGGUUGCGGGUUCGAUCCCUGGCCUUGCUCAGUGGGUUAAGGAUCUGGCAUUGCUGUGAGCUGUGGUGUAGGUUGCAGACGUGGCUCGGAUCCUGCGUUGCUGUAGCUCUGGCGUAGGCCGGCAGCUAUAGCUCCAACUCGACCCCUAGCCUGGGAACCUCCAUAUGCCACGGGAGUGGCCCAAGAAAUGGCAAAAAGAAAAAAAAAAAUAUGUAUAUAUAGUAUUUAACACAAUGUAUCAAACUUAUGAACAUUUCAACAUGCAUUUAAUAUAAAAUUUAUUAAUGAGAUUUUUUAUAUUAAGUCGUUGACAUCUGGUGUACAUUUUAUCCUUCACAUCUCAGUUGGGACUAGUUAUGUUUCAAGUUUUUAAUACUGGUCAUAUUACAUUGGACAGUGUAGGCUUAGUACAUAAACCCUGCAAGGGCCCCAGGCUUAGAACAGUCGCUGGCACAGUGGGCACUCAGAUCUGUCCAGCACAGGAAUAAAUGGACUUCUUCUCUGUUGGUUUUAGGCUCU